rnacentral:lncRNA from 1 species
AUGCUGACCUACGUCUUUCACAAUGGCUUAGGUCAUCCAGUUCAUCUGAGCACCUUUCUUUGGUGGUUUUGCCAGCAGCAGUGGAGAACUGGAAGAAGAUUGAGCUCUCCAAACUGUGAUGAACACGCAAAAGGCAUGCUGCAGGCCUUUCAAGGUCGUGGAGAAGCUGGAAUCGUUCUGCCCGGAGUUCAGUCCAGCUGCUCCGUGUCGGGUGUGGGAUAUGCUGCUGCUGGAGCCCACUGGGAGGAGCCUUUGUGUACCAGUCCUGCGUGAGCCCCAGGGAGUAGAUUAAUAGAGCUCCCGUUGCUGUCUCUGUGAAAGAAGAGGAACUGGGACUCUUCCUGAGAGAGAGGUGGGGCGCAGUGAGGCAGAAGAGAGAACAGAAGGUGUGGUGGUUUUUGUUCAGAUGGG